rnacentral:rRNA from 1 species
UGGGGAAUCUUGCACAAUGGGGGAAACCCUGAUGCAGCGACGCCGCGUGAGCGAUGAAGGUUUUCGAAUCGUAAAGCUCUGUCCUAUGGGAAGAUAAUGACGGUACCAUGGGAGGAAGCCCCGGCUAACUACGUGCCAGCAUCCGCGGUAAUACGUAGGGGGCGAGCGUUGUCCGGAAUUACUGGGCGUAAAGGGUUCGCAGGCGGCAUGGCAAGUCCGAUGUAAAAGGCGAAGGCUCAACCUUCGUAAGCAUCGGAAACUGUCAAGCUUGAGUGAAGGAGAGGCAAGUGGAAUUCCUAGUGUAGCGGUGGAAUGCGUAGAUAUUAGGAGGAAUACCGGUGGCGAAGGCGACUUGCUGGACUUCAACUGACGCUGAGGAACGAAAGCGUGGGUAGCAAACAGG